AGAUGGACCGUGUUCGGGAGUAAUCCCUUUGUUCCAAUGGGAAAAUUCUCCUCGAUAGUACCCGUAGUUACUGUCGGGUCCAUAUCGAAAGGGUGGAUAGUCCCAGGAUGGCGAACCGGCUGGCUUGCACUGCACGAUAUAAAUGGUGACUUCAAAACCACCAAGGUCUUAAAAGCUGCUAAAGAAUAUCUUGAGAUUAGUUCUAAACCACCAACUGUUAUCCAGGCGGCUAUUCCUACCAUCUUGGAGAAAAC